rnacentral:rRNA from 1 species
UACGGGGGGAGCAAGCGUUGUUCGGAUUUACUGGGCGUAAAGGGCGCGUAGGCGGCCACCGCAAGUCGACUGUGAAAUCUCCGGGCUUAACUCGGAAAGGUCAGCCGAUACUGCGGGGCUAGAGUGCAGAAGGGGCAACUGGAAUUCUCGGUGUAGCGGUGAAAUGCGUAGAUAUCGAGAGGAACACCUGCGGCGAAGGCGGGUUGCUGGGCUGACACUGACGCUGAUUGUGCGAAAGCUAGGGGGAGCGAACGGG